CGGGCGCCUGUAGUCCCAGCUACUAGGGAGGCUGAGCCAGAAGAAUGGCGUGAACCCGGGAGGCAGAGCUUACAGUGAGCCGAGAUUGCGCCACUGCACUCCAGCCUGGGCGACAGAGCCAGACUCCGUCUCAAAAAAAAAGAUGCAAACUCAGAAUAAGAGGGGAGUGUUUGAGGAGCCAAGAUGUGCAGUUGUCUUAUAAUUGGGUUGUUUAAAUCAUUUACUUGUAAUAUGAAGAUAGCUAUAGUGGAGUUUAAAUCCAUCAUCUUUUUUCCAUUUCUUGCUUGUAUUCUUUGUUUCCUUUUUCCUCUUUUCUAUUUUUGGAUUAGAAAUUGUUUUUUACAUUUUAAAAAGUGUUUUCUCUCUCUCCCCACCCUUUUAUAAGACACAAGGUCUCAUUCUGUUGCUCAGACUGGAGUGCAAUGAUGUGAUCAUAGCUCACUGCAGCCUCAAAUUCCUGUGCUCAAGCGAGCCUCUCUCUGCAUCAGCCUCCAAGGUAGUUGGGACUACAGGUGAGAGCCACCAUGCCUGCCAGGAAUUUUUUAUAACUCCAUUUUAUCUCCUUUUUAAGUUAUUAGUUAUAACUGUUGCAUUAAACCAGGGAUUGCCAGGCUUUAUUAGUAUACAACUUUAACUUAUCACAGUCUACCUUCAAAUGAUAUUAUAACAAUUCAUAUAAAGUUUAAGAAUCCAACAAUAUACUUCCACUUCUCUCCUCUUGGCCUUUGUGCUAUUGUCACAGGUUUUAUUUCCAUAGAUGUUAUAAACCUUAUACAUUAUAUUUUUGCAGAUCCAUGAUCAAUGAACCCUAAGCAUAAGAAAUAUGAAGAGUAUAGGCUGGGCACAGUAGCUCAUGCCUGUAGUCCCAGCACUUUGGGAGGCCAAGGCAGGCGGAUCACUUGAGGUCAGGAGUUCGAGACCAGCCUGGCCAACAUGGCGAAACCCUGUCUCUAUUAAAAAUACGAAAAUUAGCUGGCCAUGGUGGUGGGCACAUGUAGUCCCAGCUACUCGGGAGGCUGAAAUGGCAGAGAUAGAAAUCAUUUCAGGGGCCUGAUUGAUUGAACUCAGGAGGCAGAGGUUGCAGUAAGCUGAGAUCACACCACUGCACUCCAGCCUGGGCAACAGAGUGAGACUCCAUCUCAAAAAAAAGAAAUAUGAAGAACAUAGAAAAUGAUAGCAAGAUAUGUCACACACACACAUGCAAAAUUAGCCAGGUAUGGUGGUGUACACCUGUAGUCCUAGCCACUCAGGAGGCUGAAGUGGGAAGGUCACACGAGCUUAGGAGUUCAAGGCUGCAGUGAGCUAAGAUCAAGCCACUGCACUCCAGCCUGGGAAACAGCAAGACCCUGUCUCUACAUAAAUGAAUAAAGCCUCAGUGAACUGCAGGAUAACUUUAGGUGGCCUAAUUCAGGAAUGUGUAAUUGGAGCCUGAAGGGAGAGACUUCAAGACUUGUUUUUUAAAGAUUUUUUUUUUUCUGGUAAGGUACUUGUGAAAGGAAAAUUAAAACUCAAGACCCCAAAUCACUAUGCCAAAAGGAAAUAAUUUAGCUGAAAGCUGAGUCAUGCAAGAAGCUGUCUCUCCUUUUGUUCCUAAGCAGAUAGCUACAGAUAAAGGGUUAAAUACCUCUACAGGUAGCUACUGUAAUGUUCACCUUCUAUUAUAUAAAGGGCCACUUUACUGAGCACAAGACAAAUACAUAAUUGACUGUUCCCCUACUUGCUCCUUUUCUCUUGUAACAUAUGGAUUCAAUAAUGUGAUCAUCCCCUCCAUCUUUCCUCUCCAGCCUGCGUUUCCCCUUUAAAUACUGAAGACCUCAAAACCAUCUUUAGAGAAAGGCACAGACCUGUCUCCCAGGAACAUCCUUAACCUUGGCAAAAUAAACUUCUAAACUGAUUGAAACCUGUCUUGGAUGCUUUUUGGUUUAUAUACUCAAGAAGGAUAUUUUGUGUUUUUAAAAGGACAAAAGUAUUUUGUAUCUACCCGCAUAGCCACCACUUCCAGUGCUCUUCCUUUUUUGGGUAGAUUCAGAAUUCCGUCUGGCAACAUUUUUCUUCUACCUAAAAGAUUUCUGUUAACAUUUCUUAUAAUACAGGUCUUCUGGUGAUAAAUUCUUUCACCUUUUCUAUGUCUGAAAAAUUCUUCAUUUUGCCUUUUUUCUCUCAGUACUUUAUAAAGAUGUUACCCCACUUUCUUCUAGCUAACACUGUUUCCAGUGAGAAAUCUGCCAUAAUUAUUUUGUUCCUCUAUACAUAAUGUGUCUUAUCUCCAGCUGCUUUUAAGAUUUUUUUAUUACUGGCUUCAAAUACUUUGAUUAUGAUGUGACUUGGUAUAAUUUUCUUCAUAUUUCUUACACUUAGGGUUCAUUGAUCAUGAAUCUGCAGGUUUAUAGUUUUCAUUAAAUUUGGAAACUCGGGGGUGAGACCCUGUCUCUACAAAAAAUAAAAAUAAAAAAAUUAGCCAGGCAUGAUGGUGCAUGCUUGUAGUCCCAGCUACUCAGGAGAGGCUGAGGUAGGAGGACUGCUUAACCCCAGAAGUUCGAGGUUGCAGUGAGCUAUGAUCGCACAACUGCACUUUAGCCUGGGCAACAGAGUGAGAUCCCUUUAAAAAAAAUAGUUAUUUCUCUGAAUUUACACUCACAUAUCUUCUAUCUGAUGCUAAAAACUUUGGUUCCUAACAUUGUUAACAUAAUUAUUUAUCAUAAGUAUGCAUACAAUAAUUCCAAUAUAAAAUACCAAUAUUAUUACUAACAAUCAUGCCACUGAAUAAAUUUUAAGAGGUCUUUGGACUUCCAUUUCAUCCUUAGAGUAUAUCCUGCUAAGAACGUAUAGUCAAAACACCAUGUUCUAAAGUCUGUUGAAUUAAUUCUUCUUGUUACGUGGAUUAUAAUUUUAACAUAAUAUACAGGUAAGUUUAUUACCUUUUAUGUUGAGGAAUAUUUGGAUUGGAUAUGAAAUUCUAGGUUGGUAAUGAUUUUAUUUCAAGACAUUAACACUAUUAGUCUAACACCUUCUGUUGGUAUGGGGAAGUCAACUGUUAAUUUAUCUUUUAAAGAUGAUUUGUCCUCCUGACUGAUUUUAAGAUUCUUCUCUGUUUUUCAUCUCUUUAGGUGUAGAAAUCUUUUUUAUUUAUACUGCUUGAUUAUUCUGUUCUUAAAUCUGUCUCAGCCAUCCUGGCUAACACGGUGAAACCCCGUCUCUACUAAAAAUACAAAAAAUUAGCCUGGCGUGGUGGCGGGUGCCUGUAGUCCCAGCUACUUGGGAGGCUGAGGCAGGAGAAUGGCAUGAACCCGGGAGGCGGAGCUUGCAGUGAGCCAGAUCGAGCCACUGCACUCCAGCCUGGGCGACGGAGCGAGACUCCGUCACACACACGCACACACACACACAAAUCUGUCUCAGUUGUUUCAGCCAUUAACUCUUUAAAUAUUGUUUCUGCCCUAUUUUCUCUUCUCUCUUCUCUUUUUGGACAUCAAUUAAAUAUACAUUAGACAGUUUUACUCUUUACUCUGUUAACCCCUCUCUUCUGUAUUUUCCAUAACUUGUCUCUUUGUUUUAUUUUUGCUAAGUUCUUGCUAUCUUUAGCUUUUAGUUUACAAAUUCACUUAAGUUGUACUUAAUCUGCUGUUAAACCAGUGUACUGAAUUUUAUUCAACAUUGGUUAUUAUAUUUCUUGAUUCUACAAUUUCUGUUUUGUUCUUGUUAAAAGGUAUUUCAUAUUUUACAGUUUCAGUUUUCUAGUAAAAUUUUCAAACUUUGCUUUCAUUUUCAUCAACAUAGUAAGCAUAAUUUUUCAUUUUUUUUUUUUUGAAACUGGUCUCACGUCACCCAGGCUGAAGGGCAAUGGCACGAUCAUGGCUCACUGCAGUCCUGACCUCCUGUGCUCAAGCAAUCUUCCCACUUCAGCCUCCUGAGUAGGUGGCACCACAGGCAUGCACCACACAUGCACAGGUAACUUGUAUAGAGAUGGGGGUCUCACUGUGUUUCCCAGGCUGAUCUCGAACUUGCAGGCUCAAGCAAUCCUCCUGCCUCAGCCUCCCAAAGUGCUGAGAUUAUAGGUGUGAACCACCACACCCAGCUAAGCAUAACUUUU
rnacentral:lncRNA from 1 species